GCAAGCAGAUCUCCUUCGGGAGUGACGCUUGUGGAACGAGCGGCGGACGGGUGAGUAACACGUGGGCAACCUACCUGUAAGACUGGGAUAACUCCGGGAAACCGGGGCUAAUACCGGAUGAAACAAAGCGUCGCAUGACGCAAUGUUAAAAGGCGGCAUAUGCUGUCACUUACAGAUGGGCCCGCGGCGCAUUAGCUAGUUGGUGAGGUAAAGGCUCACCAAGGCAACGAUGCGUAGCCGACCUGAGAGGGUGAUCGGCCACACUGGGACUGAGACACGGCCCAGACUCCUACGGGAGGCAGCAGUAGGGAAUCUUCCGCAAUGGACGAAAGUCUGACGGAGCAACGCCGCGUGAGUGAUGAAGGUUUUCGGAUCGUAAAACUCUGUUGUUAGGGAAGAACAAGUGCCAUUCGAAUAGGUUGGCACCUUGACGGUACCUAACCAGAAAGCCCCGGCUAACUACGUGCCAGCAGCCGCGGUAAUACGUAGGGGGCAAGCGUUGUCCGGAAUUAUUGGGCGUAAAGCGCGCGCAGGCGGUCCUUUAAGUCUGAUGUGAAAGCCCACGGCUUAACCGUGGAGGGCCAUUGGAAACUGGAGGACUUGAGUACAGAAGAGGAGAGUGGAAUUCCACGUGUAGCGGUGAAAUGCGUAGAGAUGUGGAGGAACACCAGUGGCGAAGGCGACUCUCUGGUCUGUAACUGACGCUGAGGUGCGAAAGCGUGGGUAGCGAACAGGAUUAGAUACCCUGGUAGUCCACGCCGUAAACGAUGAGUGCUAGGUGUUAGGGGGUUUCCGCCCCUUAGUGCUGAAGUUAACGCAU
rnacentral:rRNA from 1 species